UACGAAGGUGGCAAGCGUUGUUCGGAUUUACUGGGCGUACAGGGAGCGUAGGCGGUUGGAUAAGCCCUCCGUGAAAUCUCCAGGCUUAACCUGGAAAGUGCAGAGGGGACUGUUCAGCUAGAGGAUGGGAGAGGAGCGCGGAAGUUCCCGGUGUAGCGGUGAAAUGCGUAGAGAUCGGGAGGAAGGCCGGUGGCGAAGGCGGCGCUCUGGGUCGAUACGUGACGCUGAGGUGGCGAAAGCGUGGGAGCAAACAGG
rnacentral:rRNA from 1 species